GUCGAUGUGCUUGAGGAGGCCGUGAUAGUACGUGGGGUUAGGGGGUUUGCGCGGAGUAGUGUGCGUAAGGGUGUCGUCGGGGGGUUUGAGUGGCGGAUGUGAAAUCGUAGGGCUUAACGCGGGACGGGAGUGGGGAACGGGCGGACUUGAGUACUGAAGGGGGAAAUGGAAUUUCGGGUGUAGCGGUGGAAUGUACAGAGAUCAGGAAGAAGACCGAUGGCGAAGGCAGGUCUCUGGGUAGUAACUGACGCUGAGGAGCGAAAGCAUGGGUAGCGAACAGGAUUAGAUACCCGAGUAGUC
rnacentral:rRNA from 1 species